GAUGAACGCUGGCGGCGUGCCUAAUACAUGCAAGUCGAACGAAACUUCUUUAUCACCGAGUGCUUGCACUCACCGAUAAAGAGUUGAGUGGCGAACGGGUGAGUAACACGUGGGCAACCUGCCCAAAAGAGGGGGAUAACACUUGGAAACAGGUGCUAAUACCGCAUAACCAUAGUUACCGCAUGGUAACUAUGUAAAAGGUGGCUAUACUACCGCUUUUGGAUGGGCCCGCGGCGCAUUAGCUAGUUGGUAGGGUAAAGGCUUACCAAGGCAAUGAUGCGUAGCCGAAUUGAGAGGUUGAUCGGCCACAUUGGGACUGGGACACGGCCCAAACUCCUACGGGAGGCAGCAGUAGGGAAUCUUCCACAAUGGGCGAAAGCCUGAUGGAGCAACGCCGCGUGGGUGAAGAAGGUCUUCGGAUCGUAAAACCCUGUUGUUAGGGAAGAAAGUGCGUGAGAGUAACUGUUCACGUUUCGACGGUAUCUAACCAGAAAGCCACGGCUAACUACGUG
rnacentral:rRNA from 1 species